rnacentral:rRNA from 1 species
UGGGGAAUAUUGCACAAUGGGCGGAAGCCUGAUGCAGCGACGCCGCGUGGGGGAUGAAGGCCUUCGGGUUGUAAACUCCUUUCGACAGGGACGAAGCUUUUGUGACGGUACCUGUAUAAGAAGCACCGGCUAACUACGUGCCAGCAGCCGCGGUAAUACGUAGGGUGCGAGCGUUGUCCGGAAUUACUGGGCGUAAAGAGCUCGUAGGUGGUUUGUCGCGUCGUCUGUGAAAUUCCGGGGCUUAACUCCGGGCGUGCAGGCGAUACGGGCUGACUUGAGUGCUGUAGGGGAGACUGGAAUUCCUGGUGUAGCGGUGAAAUGCGCAGAUAUCAGGAGGAACACCGAUGGCGAAGGCAGGUCUCUGGGCAGUAACGGACGCUGAGGAGCGAAAGCAUGGGUAGCGAACAGG